rnacentral:lncRNA from 1 species
CAGCCCUGCGCCACGAUGAGUGGGACACGUGGCGGGCAUUGGUUGACCUAGGGAUAUCCGCCACCAUAACUGCGCCAGGCCCCGUUGCUUAUUUAAGUCCCCUCCUUUCCUCCAGGGACUUCAUUUCACCUGAGAGUCCAGUCGACGCCUUUCUUCUGUCUGAGAAUUUAGCCACCCAUCGGCGCCCCUUUUCGACCCCAAGCAUUCUUCGUGCCAAUCUUCGCCAUCUCCGUCGGCCUCCCACCGCCUUCAGUCUUUCGAGCCCUUUCGAGGAGUUCUCCCGUCAGGGCUUCUGUGCCGGAGGUCAAUCUCAAGAGGAUGCCACGGAUCGAGAGGAGUAGGAGGGGGAAAACAGUGGCCUGCAAGUUCGGCAGUUGUCAAACUGCCACUGAGGGUUCCCACAGCUUCGAAGGGGGCUCGAGGGAGAAUUUCUUCAACAGCAGGGAUUUAAUAAUGGAACC